GCUUGUUUGAUUACUGGUCGUGUGGUAAGCUGGUAGAAGUCACCUGACGUUGUAUCUGGAGAGCCACCUUCCCACUCACACUCACUCAGCUGCUGGUCAAGGCCACAUCUGUUGUACAUCAAUAGUAUUUAGUGUCAAGGAUCCAGAGGUACAGUGGCCGGCAGCGACAACUGGUUCACACGUGGCUUGCACUGGUUCUCGGCACUUGCCGUUGUGAUUUGACCUUGUAUAAACCACGCUCUAAACACCUAACAAGUUCCUCUAUACGCAGCAUGUGCUAAAGACAUGGAUCUUGAAUCUUUAGACUCUGAUGAUUCUCUAGAAAAGUCUCAUGACAAUCUUGUGAUUGAUCUAGAUUUUUCGCCCAAUGAAUUGGAGCGGAAUUUACCUAACUUAGAAGUCGGUGACACAAUUACCGCCACAGCUGAAAGUUUAGGACGCACACGGAGGCGCCGACAUCCACAUAAAUGCCCUCACUGCUACGCGAUUUAUUAUUAUGAAGCCAGGUUUAAGCAGCACCUUCUCGCUUGCGGAUCCAGUAUCCGCAUCGCACAGGCUAACAAGGUACCUGAAGUCCUGCCUAUAAAGCAAAAACCUGAUGAAAGCCGUAAACGGAAGCGUCAAACUGGUAUAGUAAAUACUUACCAAUGCCCUCAGUGCAUCCUUAAUUUCAAGUUUAGAAGUUUGUUUGAGCGACACCUUGUUACUCACAAAAUUGUCCCUUCGAAACGGAAGGAAGGAACUUCUAGCGCGGUGGACAGGGCAGGAUACUUCCUGCAGCGACGUCAGCUAUAUCCAUGUCCCUACUGCUUAAAAAUUUACCAAGAUGAAGACGAAUUUAAGGAACACUUUCUUGUUCACGAACCCAGUCCCAGCAGCGUCCGGCAUGAUGAACCCCAAGUCAGGCCAAAGAACUUGACCGUGAAAGAGGAAGGCGCUUUCUGAGGCUUCUUAUGAGGGUGUACUUUCACUUUCAAGGGAUCCAAGCUGGGCUGCUGUCUCGGAUCGACGACAGGCAAGUGCAAGGAAAUAAAUGUCUAAGUCAGCUUAAUGAAGAUUUAGACUACCUCGCUACUCUCCCACCUGUCACAUUACUUCCAUCUCAAACACGGGAGAUAAAGGACGCUUCUCGAGUGUUUGUGGAGCUUCCAGCGGCUGGAGAUGGAUUAGUCUGCUCCUUCCACUUCCUGCUGGUGUAAAGUGGAAGUCUCACCUGGACGGAGACUUCAAAAGCUUUUAUAAAUGACUGCAGUGUCUCCACUGCUUUAUACAAGACUUUGCUCUUUCUACUAUCUUUAUGUAUGCAGUUUUUAGAUUUAGUAAUAAACCAGGUUUAAUAAA